rnacentral:rRNA from 1 species
CCUACGGGAGGCAGCAGUGGGGAAUCUUGCGCAAUGGGCGAAAGCCUGACGCAGCAACGCCGCGUGCGGGAAGAAGGCUUUCGGGCUGUAAACCGCUUUCAGCAGGAACGAAAAUGACGGUACCUGCAGAAGAAGGAGCGGCCAACUAUGUGCCAGCAGCCGCGGUGAUACAUAGGCUUCAAGCGUUGUCCGGAUUUAUUGGGCGUAAAGAGUUCGUAGGCGGUCGAGUAAGUCGGGUGUGAAAAUUCUGGGCUCAACCCAGAGACGCCACCCGAUACUGCUUGACUUGAGUUCGAUAGGGGAGUGGGGAAUUCCUAGUGUAGCGGUGAAAUGCGCAGAUAUUAGGAGGAACACCGGUGGCGAAGGCGCCACUCUGGAUCGAUACUGACGCUGAGGAACGAAAGCAUGGGUAGCAAACAGGAUUAGAUACCCUGGUAGUCCAUGCCGUAAACGGUGGGCACUAGGUGUGGGUUUCUAUUAACGAAAUCCGCGCCGUCGCUAACGCAUUAAGUGCCCCGCCUGGGGAGUACGGUCGCAAGACUAAAACGUUAAGGAAUUGAACGGU